rnacentral:tRNA from 1 species
UCCCUGGUUGUCCAGUGGCUAAGACUCUGUGCUCCCAAUGCAGGGGGUGCACGUUCAAUCCCUGUUCAGGGAA